GUUUGAUCCUGGCUCAGGAUCAACGCUGGCGGCGUGCCUAAUGCAUGCAAGUCGAACGGGGUGGCCUUUGGGCCGCUCACGUGGCGGACGGGUGCGGAACACGUGGGCAAUCCACCCUCGGGCGGGGGAUAGCCUCCAGAAAUGGGGGGUAAUGCCGCAUACGUGGGCCGGCGAGUAGCGCCGGUUCGGAAAGGUGCCCUUCGGGGUGCCACCCGAGGACGAGCCUGCGGCCGAUUAGCUUGUUGGUGGGGUAACGGCCUACCAAGGCGAUGAUCGGUAGCUGGUCUGAGAGGACGGCCAGCCACACGGGGACUGAGACACGGCCCCGACUCCUACGGGAGGCAGCAGCAAGGAAUCUUCCGCAAUGGGCGAAAGCCUGACGGAGCAACGCCGCGUGCGGGAUGACGCCCUUCGGGGUGUAAACCGCUUUUCCGAGGGACGAAUAACUGACGGUACCUCGGGAAUAAGGACCGGCUAACUACGUGCCAGCAGCCGCGGUAAUACGUAGGGUCCGAGCGUUGUCCGGAGUUACUGGGCGUAAAGCGUACGCAGGCGGCGGCGUUGGCCCGGCGUGAAAGCCCCCGGCUCAACCGGGGAGGGUCGUCGGGGACCGCGUCGCUUGAGGAUAGCAGGGGUUGGUGGAAUGCCCGGUGUAGUGGUGAAAUGCGUAGAGAUCGGGCGGAACACCCGUGGCGAAGGCGGCCAACUGGGCUAUUCCUGACGCUGAGGUACGAAGGCGUGGGGAGCGAACGGGAUUAGAUACCCCGGUAGUCCACGCAGUAAACGAUGCAGACUAGGCGUGGGGGGACUUGACCCCCUCCGUGCCGGAGCUAACGCGUGAAGUCUGCCGCCUGGGGAGUACGGCCGCAAGGCUAAAACUCAAAGGAAUUGACGGGGGCCCG
rnacentral:rRNA from 1 species